GACGAACGCUGGCGGCGUGCUUAACACAUGCAAGUCGAGCGGAAAGGCCCUUCGGGGUACUCGAGCGGCGAACGGGUGAGUAACACGUGAGUAACCUGCCCUGGACUUUGGGAUAACCCUCGGAAACGGGGGCGUAAUACCGAAUACGACUUCCCCUCGCAUGGGGGGUGGGUGGAAAGUUUUUCGGUUCUGGGAGUGGGCUCGCGGCCUAUCAGCUUGUUGGUGGGGUGGAUGGCCUACCAAGGCGACGACGGGUAGCCGGCCUGAGAGGGCGACCGGCCACACUGGGACUGAGACACGGCCCAGACUCCUACGGGAGGCAGCAGUGGGGAAUAUUGCACAAUGGGCGGGAAGCCUGAUGCAGCGACGCCGCGUGAGGGA
rnacentral:rRNA from 1 species